rnacentral:rRNA from 1 species
AGUGAACGCUGGCGGUAGGCCUAACACAUGCAAGUCGAACGGCAGCACAGUAAGAGCUUGUUCUUACGGGUGGCGAGUGGCGGACGGGUGAGGAAUACAUCGGAAUCUACUUUUUCGUGGGGGAUAACGUAGGGAAACUUACGCUAAUACCGCAUACGACCUACGGGUGAAAGCAGGGGAUCUUCGGACCUUGCGCGAUUGAAUGAGCCGAUGUCGGAUUAGCUAGUUGGCGGGGUAAAGGCCCACCAAGGCGACGAUCCGUAGCUGGUCUGAGAGGAUGAUCAGCCACACUGGAACGGAGACACGGUCAAGACUCCUACGGGAGGCAGCAGUGGGGAAUAUUGGACAAUGGGCGCAAGCCUGAUCCAGCCAUACCGCGUGGGUGAAGAAGGCCUUCGGGUUGUAAAGCCCUUUUGUUGGGAAAGAAAAGCAGCAGGUUAAUACCCCGCUGUUCUGACGGUACCCAAAGAAUAAGCACCGGCUAACUUCGUG